rfam:Picea glauca, whole genome shotgun sequence.
ACAUGCCUACAAAACAACGUUAAUGCAAGAGAUCCCAUUAGAAAUCUACAUUUAUGCGCGCUCGACGAGAGUAGUACUGGGAAGGGUGACCGUCCGAGAAGUCCCAGUGUUUUACAUGCC